UAAGGAAUAUUGGACAAUGGGCGAGAGCCUGAUCCAGCCAUCCCGCGUGUAGGAUGACGGCCCUAUGGGUUGUAAACUACUUUUAUAUGAGAAGAAUAGCUUGUAUUUAUAUGAGUGUGACGGUAUUAUAUGAAUAAGCACCGGCUAACUCCGUGCCAGCAGCCGCGGUAAUACGGAGGGUGCAAGCGUUAUCCGGAAUCACUGGGUUUAAAGGGUGCGUAGGCGGCCUAUUAAGUCAGAGGUGAAAGUUUGCAGCUUAACUGUAAAAUUGCCUUUGAAACUGAUGGGCUUGAAUAGCGUUGAGGUCAGCGGAAUGUGACAUGUAGCGGUGAAAUGCAUAGAUAUGUCAUAGAACACCAAUUGCGAAGGCAGCUGGCUGGGCGUUUAUUGACGCUGAGGCACGAAAGCGUGGGGAGCGAACAGG
rnacentral:rRNA from 1 species